CCCUUAGAUGUCCUGGGCCGCACGCGCGCUACACUGAGUGUCUGAGAUACGAGUCUGCCUGGUCCGGCAAGGUCUAGGUAAUCGCUAAAAGACACAUCGUGCUUGGGAUAGAUUAUUGCAAAUAUUAAUCUUGAACGAGGAAUUCCUAGUAAGCGCAAGUCAACAGCUUGCGUUGAUUACGUCCCUGCCCUUUGUACACACCGCCCGUCGCUACUACUGAUUGGAUGUUUAAGCGAGGUUCUCGAACUGCUAGCGACUUAGCUUCGGUGAGGUCGCAGUGUGGGAAGUGAACCUAGCUUUGGUGUCUAGAGGAAGUAAAAGUCGUAACA
rnacentral:rRNA from 1 species